rnacentral:lncRNA from 1 species
GUCCAGCGGGCAGCCACCGUGUCCACGUCUGGGAGUGUGCCGGGACCUUCCUACCUCCUCUCGGUGUGAACAUUGCGGUGGACAGCACAGACGACCGGAGACAGACAGGUAGGUACCCACGGAGGAUUCCACCACAGAACAUCCUCCACACCCACCCAGUCCCCGCGCCCACGCUCUCACUCUGGGGCAAGGGAUUUCUUCCACAAGGAAGCAGUGCAGAGGCUUUCUUCCUCGGCUGCCUCAAGCCUCAGUGGGUAAAAAUCUCAUUUAGUGCCCCCAUACCCCCGGAUCCCUUCCCCCUUGUCAAGGGCUCCUCUUGGAAGGGCUGCCAACACCAAGUCUCAACUGGAUUCAGGAGGUCAAGUCCCAGGAUGCCCGGGAGGGAAGGGAAAGGAUCUGCUCAGCCACAGGUGCGAUGUCUCCCUUUCUCCAAACUGGGGGUGGGAGGGAGGGGGUGCGGGUGGUGGCGGUGGCUGGGAAAGCCGUUCUGGAGCUAGCGCUGGGCUCUCCUGCCAGCUGGAGUAAGAGGGUUGCAUGUGAGCUAAGCCCCGCGCUGCCGCUGGGUCUCUGGUGCCUUUCGCCCAGACUCUAGGUGUAGCCGACCUGUUGCCUGCGGGAAAGCGUCCCACAAGAUCUGAGAGCCAGGAGUCCGUGCUGAAGUCAGCCGCGAUCUUACGGGCGAGCAUCCCCAGAGUCCAGCGCCCACGGGAGGAAGACGUACACGGUGCCGGGAAAAGCAGCGGGCACCUUCAGAAGCUGGACAGCACCGGGGCCGCAGAGUACCAGAGGUCGGUUCCUGGGCUCUUCCCAAGACGCCAGGCCCAUGUCCACAAUUCCAGACUCCAUUCAACCGAGGCCAAGAGGGGAGCCCGCUGAAGACCCUCCUCACCUUGGACACACAUUCUGACGACAGCCUGGAGGAUGCCUGAACGUGAGUAUAGUCUCCUCGGUUUGUCUCCCCUUCAUUCUUGGGAAUACACAGACACCUGAGCAGGAUGCUGACCUGAAGGGCCACCUCCUUUCCCCACCUCCCACCCUGUGCUGAAUCCAACUGGGACCUUAGGCUCCAAUAAAAGACUGGAUUAGGGACUCUGA